CCUACGGGUGGCAGCAGUGGGGAAUAUUGGACAAUGGGGGCAACCCUGAUCCAGCCAUGCCGCGUGUGUGAAGAAGGCCCUCGGGUUGUAAAGCACUUUCAGUGAGGAAGAACGCCUGGUGGUUAAUACCCAUCAGGAAAGACAUCACUCACAGAAGAAGCACCGGCUAACUCCGUGCCAGCAGCCGCGGUAAUACGGAGGGUGCGAGCGUUAAUCGGAAUUACUGGGCGUAAAGCGCGCGUAGGUGGCUUGAUAAGCCGGUUGUGAAAGCCCCGGGCUCAACCUGGGAACGGCAUCCGGAACUGUCAAGCUAGAGUGCAGGAGAGGAAGGUAGAAUUCCCGGUGUAGCGGUGAAAUGCGUAGAGAUCGGGAGGAAUACCAGUGGCGAAGGCGGCCUUCUGGACUGACACUGACACUGAGGUGCGGAAGCGUGGGUAGCAAACAGGAUUAGAUACCCCAGUAGUC
rnacentral:rRNA from 1 species